AGAUUUUGAUGUGGCUCAACCUUCUACUCUGGGAACAAGUGGUGGCCGUUCUUUCCAGUUUCUUCCGCCCGUCACAUCAUCCAGCCCAGCAGCCACCAACUCUCCAUUAGGAGGACGUCCUACAGCCUGCGGAAGAAAAUUCAAACACCCUGGCAUUGUGCUUCCAACUCAACAUUUCCACACUAAUCAUUGGCUCUAGUUACACUAAAUGACUUGCCUUUACUACAAUGAAAC
rnacentral:lncRNA from 1 species